rnacentral:rRNA from 1 species
UACGGGGGGUGCAAGCGUUGCUCGGAAUUAUUGGGCGUAAAGCGCGUGUAGGCGGCUUACUAAGUCUGAUGUGAAAUCCCAGGGCUUAACCCUGGAACUGCAUCGGAUACCGGUGAGCUAGAGGACGAGAGAGGGUGAUGGAAUUCCAGGUGUAGGGGUGAAAUCCGUAGAUAUCUGGAGGAACAUCGGUGGCGAAGGCGGUCACCUGGCUCGUAUCUGACGCUGAGACGCAAAAGCGUGGGGAGCAAACAGG